rnacentral:rRNA from 1 species
AGUGAACGCUGGCGGUAGGCCUAACACAUGCAAGUGGAACGGCAGCACAGUAAGAGCUUGCUCUUACGGGUGGCGAGUGGCGGACGGGUGAGGAAUACAUCGGAAUCUACUUUUUCGUGGGGGAUAACGUAGGGAAACUUACGCUAAUACCGCAUACGACCUACGGGUGAAAGCAGGGGAUCUUCGGACCUUGCGCGAUUGAAUGAGCCGAUGUCGGAUUAGCUAGUUGGCGGGGUAAAGGCCCACCAAGGCGACGAUCCGUAGCUGGUCUGAGAGGAUGAUCAGCCACACUGGAACUGAGACACGGUCCAGACUCCUACGGGAGGCAGCAGUGGGGAAUAUUGGACAAUGGGCGCAAGCCUGAUCCAGCUAUACCGCGUGGGUGAAGAAGGCCUUCGGGUUGUAAAGCCCUUUUGUUGGGAAAGAAAAGCAGCAGGUUAAUACCCCGCUGUUCUGACGGUACCCAAAGAAUAAGCACCGGCUAACUUCGUG